GGAUGGGAGGGGGAUCUGACUAUGACAUCUGUCACUCCAUUGAUUGCCAGGGUUUAUUCAACUAAUCUGUAUAGCUAGGAGGGUGUCCCCUUCCUCUCUCAUCACUCCAUGUGCAUCUCUCUCAAAGCUCCACCCAUGGUUAAAGAAGAUGACCUUCCCAGAUAGAGGAGGACUAUUCUUUGAUCAUGGGCAUAGGAGUAGCUAUGCUCCCUUGCUCCUCACCCCCUUCCCAGAAUUGCCAAACAAGCUCCAAGGUCUAAGAAAAAUAGCCUUAGCCUUGACUGACUAAGA
rnacentral:snRNA from 1 species